CGUAGGCAGCAAGCGUUGUUCGGAGUUACUGGGCGUAAAGAGUACGUAGGCGGUUUGCUAAGUCUGGUGUGAAAUCUCCUGGCUUAACUGGGAGGGUGCGCUAGAUACUGGCAGGCUUGAGUAUGGGAGAGGAGAGUGGAAUUCCUGGUGUAGCGGUGAAAUGCGUAGAUAUCAGGAGGAACGCCGGUGGUGUAGACGGCUCUCUGGACCAUUACUGACGCUGAGGUACGAAAGCGUGGGUAGCAAACAGGGUUAGAUACCCUGGUAGUCCACGCCCUAAACGAUGCGGACUUGGUGUAGGCAGUUCAGUCUGUCUGUGCCGGAGCUAACGCGUUAAGUCCGCCGCCUGGGGAGUACGGUCGCAAGGCUG
rnacentral:rRNA from 1 species